rnacentral:rRNA from 1 species
GUAAGGAAUAUUGGACAAUGGACGCAAGUCUGAUCCAGCCAUGCCGCGUGAAGGAUUAAGGUCCUCUGGAUUGUAAACUUCUUUUAUAAGGGACGAAAAAAGGCUUUUCUAAGUCGUCUGACGGUACCUUAUGAAUAAGCACCGGCUAACUCCGUGCCAGCAGCCGCGGUAAUACGGAGGGUGCAAGCGUUAUCCGGAUUCACUGGGUUUAAAGGGUGCGUAGGCGGGCAGGUAAGUCAGUGGUGAAAUCCUAUAGCUUAACUCUAGAACUGCCAUUGAUACUAUCUGUCUUGAAUAUUGUGGAGGUAAGCGGAAUAUGUCAUGUAGCGGUGAAAUGCUUAGAUAUGACAUAGAACACCUAUUGUGAAGGCAGCUUACUACGCAUAUAUUGACGCUGAGGCACGAAAGCGUGGGGAUCAAACAGGAUUAGAUACCCGUGUAGUCC